rnacentral:rRNA from 1 species
UACGUAGGGGGCAAGCGUUGUCCGGAUUCAUUGGGCGUAAAGAGCGUGUAGGCGGCCAGGUAGGUCGGUUGUGAAAACUGGAGGCUCAACCUUCAGACGUCGACCGAAACCAUCUGGCUAGAGUCCGGGAGAGGAGAGUGGAAUUCCUGGUGUAGCGGUGAAAUGCGCAGAUAUCAGGAAGAACACCCGUGGCGAAAGCGGCUCUCUGGAACGGUACUGACGCUGAGACACGAAAGCGUGGGGAGCGAACAGG